GAUGAACGCUGGCGGCGUGCCUAAUACAUGCAAGUCGAGCGAACAGAAGAGGAGCUUGCUCCUCUGACGUUAGCGGCGGACGGGUGAGUAACACGUGGAUAACCUACCUAUAAGACUGGGAUAACUUCGGGAAACCGGAGCUAAUACCGGAUAAUAUAUUGAACCGCAUGGUUCAAUAGUGAAAGACGGUUUUGCUGUUACUUAUAGAUGGAUCCGCGCCGCAUUAGCUAGUUGGUAAGGUAACGGCUUACCAAGGCAACGAUGCGUAGCCGACCUGAGAGGGUGAUCGGCCACACUGGAACUGAGACACGGUCCAGACUCCUACGGGAGGCAGCAGUAGGGAAUCUUCCGCAAUGGGCGAAAGCCUGACGGAGCAACGCCGCGUGAGUGAUGAAGGUCUUCGGAUCGUAAAACUCUGUUAUUAGGGAAGAACAAAUGUGUAAGUAACUAUGCACGUCUUGACGGUACCUAAUCAGAAAGCCACGGCUAACUACGUG
rnacentral:rRNA from 1 species